GUACUUACCUGGAAGGGGCAAAAUCAUGAUCAAGAAGGUGGUUCAUCCAAGGCGAAGGUCAACUAUUGCAUUCCAUCUGUGAAGCCACCAAAUGUUGGAAUCUCAAUUGCAUAAUUUCUUGAAUUUGGGGCUGCUCUCAUCUGAGGUGUAUGCCUGGUGAAAUAGAAAAAGGCAGACCCCCA
rnacentral:snRNA from 1 species